CGCGUGUGUGAAGAAGGCUGCGGGUUGUAAAGCACUUUUGGCAGGGAUGAAAAGCACUGGAUUAAUAACCCAGUGUGUUGACCUAACCUGCAGAAGAAGCACCGGCUAACUCUGUGCCAGCAGCCGCGGUAAUACAGAGGGUGCAAGCGUUAAUCGGAAUUACUGGGCGUAAAGCGCGCGUAGGCCGUCGAGUAAGUCGGGUGUGAAAUCCCUGGGCUUAACCUGGGAAUUGCAUUCGAUACUGCCUGACUAGAGUGUGGAAGAGGGAAGCGGAAUUUCCGGUGUAGCGGUGAAAUGCGUAGAUAUCGGAAGGAACACCAGUGGCGAAGGCGGCUUCCUGGUCCAACACUGACGCUGAGGCGCGAAACGUGGGGAGCAAACAGGAUUAGAUCCCUGGUAGUCCACGCUGUAACGAUGAGACUAGAUGUUGGG
rnacentral:rRNA from 1 species